rnacentral:rRNA from 1 species
UUCCGGUUGAUCCUGCCGGACCUGACUGCUAUCGGAUUGAUACUAAGCCAUGCGAGUCUUUGCAGUAAUGCAAGGCAUACGGCUCAGUAACACGUAGUCAACUUACCCUAUGGAUGAGGAUAAUCUCGGGAAACUGAGCAUAAUACUCGAUAGAUCAUAAUGCCUGGAAUGGUUUAUGGUUGAAAUGAUUCGUCGCCAUAGGAUGGGACUGCGGCCUAUCAGCUUGUUGGUGAGGUAAUGGCCCACCAAGGCGAUUACAGGUACGGGCUCUGAGAGGAGAAGCCCGGAGAUGGGUACUGAGACAAGGACCCAGGCCCUAUGGGGCGCAGCAGGCGAGAAAACUUUGCAAUGUGCGAAAGCACGACAAGGUUAAUCCGAGUGAUUUCUGCUAAAGAAAUCUUUUGCAAGUCAUAAAACCACUAGUGAAUAAGGGGUGGGCAAGUUCUGGUGUCAGCCGCCGCGGUAAAACCAGCACCUCAAGUGGUCAGGAGGAUUAUUGGGCCUAAAGCAUCCGUAGCCGGCUCUGUAAGUUUUCGGUUAAAUCCAUGUGCUCAACGCAUGGGCUGCCGAAAAUACUGCAUAGCUAGGGAGUGGGAGAGGUAGACGGUACUCGGUAGGAAGGGGUAAAAUCCUUUGAUCUAUCGAUGACCACCUGUGGCGAAGGCGGUCUACCAGAACACGUUCGACGGUGAGGGAUGAAAGCUGGGGGAGCAAACCGGAUUAGAUACCCGGGUAGUCCCAGCUGUAAACGAUGCAGACUCGAUGAUGCAUUGGCAUAUAGCCAGUGCAGUGUCGCAGGGAAGCCGUUAAGUCUGCCGCCUGGGAAGUACGUACGCAAGUAUGAAACUUAAAGGAAUUGGCGGGGGAGCACCACAAGGGGUGAAGCCUGCGGUUCAAUUGGAUUCAACGCCGG